UACGUAGGGGGCAAGCGUUGUCCGGAUUUAUUGGGCGUAAAGAGCGUGUAGGCGGUUAGGUAGGUCCGCUGUGAAAACUCGAGGCUCAACCUCGAGACGCCGAUGGAAACCAUGUGGCUAGAGUCCGGAAGAGGAGAGUGGAAUUCCUGGUGUAGCGGUGAAAUGCGCAGAUAUCAGGAAGAACACCCGUGGCUAAGGCGGCUCUCUAGUACGGUACUGACGCUGAGACGCGAAAGCGUGGGGAGCGAACAGG
rnacentral:rRNA from 1 species